ACUGGCAUCGAAGGUUUUCCAGUCUGCAAUGCAAUGACGGACACUGCUCCGCAAAUGGCCAGCUAUCCGCUUUCUUGAGAUUUUCUGACUUCUUGCAGCCAUUACUCCUGUACUGCCAAAAAAUAAUAGUUUUUUAAAUAGCCUAUCCAAGUGGUUUUGCUGUUAUCUACGGUCAAAUUUUGCGCAUCCCAUCAUCUUAGGCUCUCCGUCCCGUCCUGCUCACCUACCGUCAUCCACACUCCUUCAGAACGGCUCUGGACUGGUACCUGGUACUUCGAUUGAUACACAAGGAUGUAUUCCUAUGCAAAGAUGCUGGCGGCUGUUGUUCUCGGAAAUGUCAUACUACAGUAUGUCUCAUCUCAAAACGCUGGGUUUGUGAAGUCGCCCAUGUCUGAGACAAAGCUUACGGGGGACACCUUUGAGCUGUACUGCGACGUGGUUGGUAACCCCACACCGGAGAUCCAGUGGUGGUAUGCUGAGAUUAACCGGGCGGACUCCUUCAAGCAGCUGUGGGACGGUGCCCGCAAGCGACGGGUGUCCAUCAACACGGCAUACGGCACCAAUGGCGUCAGUGUGCUGGGUGUCACUCGCCUUACGCUGGAGGACUCGGGGACCUACGAGUGCCGGGCCAGUAACGACCCGCGCCGCAACGACCUGCGACAAAACCCUGCCAUCACCUGGAUCCGAGCUCAGGCCACCAUUUCCGUGUUGCAGAAGCCAAAGAUCAAUGCCUCUGAUCAGGAGAUUCUGCCAACUAAGAAGCCACAGGAUGAUAACCCUUCCAUCACGCUACAGUGUAACCUGACCAACGCUCACACCGCCCACCGGGAAAGCUUCUGGAUGAAGAAUGGAAAAGAAAUCCAAAACACUAGAAAAGGCCUCAAGAACACAGCAUUCACAUUGAGCAAACCAAGAGCCGAUGAUGCAGGAGAAUACAUGUGUGUUUACACCUUUGACAUGGCCCCCAAUGCCAACGCUUCCAUUGAAGUCAAAGCGGCUCCUGAAAUCACUGGUCACAAACGGAGUGAGAAUAAAAAGGAAGGAGAGAGUGCACUCUUGUACUGCAGAUCUGUGGGAUACCCACAUCCCAUCUGGACAUGGCGGAAAAAAGUCGGCCAGGGAUCAUACAUAGACAUCGACAACAGUACUGGACGCUUUUUCAUCAUCAACAAAGAAAAUUACUCAGAACUCACUAUUAUAAACCUUGACAUCAACACGGACCCCGGUGAAUAUGUUUGCAAUGCCACCAACGUUAUCGGCUCUAAAGAAUCAACAUCCAUCCUGCGGGUGCGCAGUCACUUGGCCCCACUUUGGCCCUUCCUGGGUGUACUAGCUGAAAUCAUCAUCCUGGUGGUCAUCAUUGUCGUUUAUGAGAAACGCAAGAGGCCAGACGACAUGCCAGACGAGUGAACAAUUGAGUUUUUACAUAAAAGGGUUUAAAACUGCUUUGUUUUUUCCCUUCUCCAAAUGGCAUCAUAUUCUUUGUUGGUGGUAAGUUUGAUAACUUGCAUGUCUUUGGAAAUGUCAGCUUCUGUCUUCUCUCCAUCCAGACCAUGAUGUUGACACUAGUUAACCCAAUUAUUUGAUUUGGAAAACCUUAAUUUAGUGCAAAGUAAUUAUAACAGAAUGUUGUAGAUUCUAUACCUUUUCAUUUAAUUUUGUUGCUGGAUACGCAUCUCAUUUUGGACAAUCAGCCUCUGACAUGUUUGAUGUAGGUGCACACUUUGCAACAAUCUUUACAAUUCUUUGUAACAAUCCUUCAUUAGUCUUAAGUGGCAUUUUCUAAUACUUUUAGGGGUAACUUCAAACUUGUGAAGGAGUACUAAACAGUCAGCACUGUUUGCAAGUAAGAGGCAACUGGCAUUUAUUGUACAAACACAUCAAUGGCCAAUCAAAAACAUGCUGAUCUAGAAUGCUCAUUGUGAAAUUACAAAAACUUAAUCUCAUAAAUACCAUUGUGAUCUCAGACAUAUUUAAGAUAUGUUCAAGAUGUUAGAAAUCCUACCAUAACACGAUCAAACAAAACAAAUAUCGAAACUAAAGGAUGUUACUCUUUCUUUCUUAGAUAUUACAUCUUAAAGUCUGUAAGCCUAUAGUGCAAACUGCAGUCUGCAGACUCUAUAUACGUCUUCCUCACCCUUUGAGUCACCAAAUGACCCACAGUCAGCUUUCAUAUGAUAACAAUAAAGCUAAAAUGAAAACAAUAUGCAAACUACAGAAAUUAUAUUGGAAUUUCUUUUCUGCUCACUGCAUUGAAUACUACUUACCAUCACAAGAAGGGGAGGUGGGGUGGUAGAUUAAGAUCCUAAUAUAAUAUUAAGGUCUUUCUGACUGAAUAAGAAAUAAGGUCAUAAUGCUUUGAAGUCCUCACAAUUAUUUUACAAUUCAUGAGGGGUUUUGCUUUUCAUAUUUAACAUCAAGACAUUACGUCUAAUAAGUAUAUGGCUUGCUAUUUCAGAAAAAGGGCCCUCUAUGGUAACAGCCAGAGUACUUGUCCAUGUUUUUUGUUUGUUUCGUUUCUAGAACCUAUGACUUAUGUGAACCCAAGGUUCUUUAACAUUGUAUAAUUUUUACAUGUGCUUCAUCUAAAUAACUACAUUUGUUGUCACUUGACAAUCUGCAAAAGGUCAUGUGAAAAAUAUUCAUAAAUUUAACAAAGAUUUUUCCUGGGUUUGAUGAGAAUGGCUUGAAUGUAUCAAUCAGCUGUAUUGGCUGUUAGCUGAGCUUAGGCAGUUAAUGUCUAGAAGCCAUACUGUCCUGUCUCCAAAUAUAAUCUAUGUGGUGUAAUGCACUGUUGAAUGCUGCUGCCCUCAAGCUGUGGAUGCAUGCUGUUUUCAGUCUCACAAUCAUGCUAACCAAGUACCUUCAUCCAUAUCGAUGUCAGGAUUUUAUGCUUCCUGGUAGACUAUUUUCACUUACAUAAGUAAUUAACCCAAAAAGUGUAAACUAUUGAAUGGCUCAAGGUUUCACAGAUAUCUUUCAGAAUCACUUAUGCAUCAGUACUGAAGUCUUGACAGUACUUCAUUCCGAUUCUUGCAGAGAUGCCAUUAGUGAAUAUUCGACUCAACUAUAAAACCACACAACAACAGAUCAGUAGGAGUUACUCCAUUCCAUAUGCUGAAAUAUAAUAUUCUCAAUCAUGUUUCUCAUACCAUUAAUGCUAUGUACACUUUCUAAGACAUCUUAGAACAAAUAAUCUUAAAACUGUAAUCUAAAAUAAACUAAGGAUUUAAACUACUGUUCAUUUUUUAAAACCCAUUUUUAAUUUUUCUUCCUCUCCUAUUUACCUGUACCUAUUGAAGAUGAUGAACCAGUCGGAACAAUGAAAACAAAUUCUACUAACAACCACAAAGACAAAAACCUGAGACAGCGGAACACCAACUGAGAAAACAGGCUUUGGAA